UGCAAGUCGAGCGGGCGUAGCAAUACGUCAGCGGCAGACGGGUGAGUAACGCGUGGGAACGUACCUUUUGGUUCGGAACAACACAGGGAAACUUGUGCUAAUACCGGAUAAGCCCUUACGGGGAAAGAUUUAUCGCCGAAAGAUCGGCCCGCGUCUGAUUAGCUAGUUGGUGUGGUAACGGCGCACCGAGGCGACGAUCAGUAGCUGGUCUGAGAGGAUGAUCAGCCACAUUGGGACUGAGACACGGCCCAAACUCCUACGGGAGGCAGCAGUGGGGAAUAUUGGACAAUGGGCGCAAGCCUGAUCCAGCCAUGCCGCGUGAGUGAUGAAGGCCCUAGGGUUGUAAAGCUCUUUUGUGCGGGAAGAUAAUGACGGUACCGCAAGAAUAAGCCCCGGCUAACUUCGUGCCAGCAGCCGCGGUAAUACGAAGGGGGCUAGCGUUGCUCGGAAUCACUGGGCGUAAAGGGUGCGUAGGCGGGUCUUUAAGUCAGGGGUGAAAUCCUGGAGCUCAACUCCAGAACUGCCUUUGAUACUGAGGAUCUUGAGUUCGGGAGAGGUGAGUGGAACUGCGAGUGUAGAGGUGAAAUUCGUAGAUAUUCGCUAGAACACCAGUGGCGAANGCGGCUCACUGGCCCGAUACUGACGCUGAGGCACGAAAG
rnacentral:rRNA from 1 species